rnacentral:rRNA from 1 species
UGGGUCUAAUACCGAAUAUGACCGAUACUCGCAUGGGUGUUGGUGGAAAGCUCCGGCGGUUUGGGAUGGGCCCGCGGCCUAUCAGCUUGUUGGUGGGGUAAUGGCCUACCAAGGCGACGACGGGUAGCCGGCCUGAGAGGGCGACCGGCCACACUGGGACUGAGACACGGCCCAGACUCCUACGGGAGGCAGCAGUGGGGAAUAUUGCACAAUGGGCGCAAGCCUGAUGCAGCGACGCCGCGUGAGGGAUGACGGCCUUCGGGUUGUAAACCUCUUUCACCAGGGACGAAGCGAAAGUGACGGUACCUGGAGAAGAAGCACCGGCCAACUACGUGCCAGCAGCCGCGGUAAUACGUAGGGUGCGAGCGUUGUCCGGAAUUACUGGGCGUAAAGAGCUCGUAGGCGGUUUGUCGCGUCGUUCGUGAAAACUUGGGGCUUAACUCCAAGCGUGCGGGCGAUACGGGCAGACUUGAGUACUACAGGGGAGACUGGAAUUCCUGGUGUAGCGGUGAAAUGCGCAGAUAUCAGGAGGAACACCGGUGGC